AUUGAACGCUGGCGGCAGGCCUAACACAUGCAAGUCGAGCGGCAGCGGGACCUUCGGGUUGCCGGCGAGCGGCGGACGGGUGAGUAAUGCCUAGGAAUCUGCCUGUUAGUGGGGGGAUAACGCGGGGAAACUCGCGCUAAUACCGCAUACGUCCUACGGGAGAAAGCGGGGGCUCUUCGGACCUCGCGCUAACAGAUGAGCCUAGGUCGGAUUAGCUAGUUGGUGGGGUAAUGGCCCACCAAGGCGACGAUCCGUAACUGGUCUGAGAGGAUGAUCAGUCACACUGGAACUGAGACACGGUCCAGACUCCUACGGGAGGCAGCAGUGGGGAAUAUUGGACAAUGGGCGAAAGCCUGAUCCAGCCAUGCCGCGUGUGUGAAGAAGGUCUUCGGAUUGUAAAGCACUUUAAGUCGGGAGGAAGGACUGUAGGCUAAUACCUUGCAGUUUUGACGUUACCGACAGAAUAAGCACCGGCUAACUUCGUGCCAGCCGCCGCCGUAAAAC
rnacentral:rRNA from 1 species